GACGAACGCUGGCGGCGUGCUUAACACAUGCAAGUCAAACGGAAAGGCCCUGCUUUUGUGGGAUGCUCGAGUGGCGAACGGGUGAGUAACACGUGAGUAACCUGCCAUUGACUUAGGGAAAACUUCAGGCCACUGAGGCUAAUACCGGAUAGGCGCACCUGCUGCAUGGUGGGGGUUGGAAAGAUUCGGCGGUUGGGGCUGGACUCGCGGCUUAUCGGCUUGGUGGUGGGGUAGUGGCUUACCAAGGCUUAGCCGGGAAGGCGGCCUGGGAGGGUGACCGGCCACAUUGGGACUGGGAUACCGCCCAGACCCCUACGGGGGGCAGCAGUGGGGAAUAUUGCACAAUGGGCCGAAGCCUGAUGCAGCAACGCCGCGUGCGGGAUGACGGCCUUCGGGUUAUAAACCGUGUUUGCCGGUGACGAAGCGUGAGUGACGGUAAUGGGUAAAGAAGCACCGGCUAACUACGUG
rnacentral:rRNA from 1 species